CCAUCCAAGAGAAACAGUAGCCUUGCGAGCAAAAUCCAUCCAAUUUUUAUCCUCCAUGGACUCUGCUGAUAUUUUUCAAAAACAAAAAACAAAGCUAUCACCGCAAGAUAAUAACUUUUAUUCGAACGCGCUUUUCAAAUUGUCUGUCCGAAUGAAAGCAGCGAUGAUAGCGAGAUAACAAAAGGAUCCCUCCCGAGGAAUUGGCUGCUGAGCCAAAAAUUCUCCACCAUCGGGUGACAAAUCCAUGAGCAUUGGUUUUUCGUCAUGAUCCUCGAUCGAUGAUGAGGACUCGUCCGAAAGAUUUUCACCCAAAUUCAUCGUAUAAUCGUUCCUGCUUGGCUACAUAUUGAAAUUAUCAGAGUUUUAUUGUCAAAUAUGUGUUGAAAGAAUCCUACCAUGAUUCUGGUUGAAAAAACGAACAAUCAGAUGAGCUAUAUUAGCGAGAGGCCCUCCGCUCAAUGGAGGAACGUCGAAGGGUGGCCUGAGGCUACCCUCUUGUAGAUUUUGUACCAAAUAAUGAAGAAAAUCGUUUCUCAAUUGCAUCUCUCCGAUUGACUUAUUUGCUCCCAUUAAAUAACGCAGCCAUUCGAUGGCACUGUUGCGUUCUGUUGAACAUCGUGUCAAUCUUGACUAUUUUUUUUCAAGCUUAUACCAACCAAUCGCUUUAAUAAUUUACUUGAAUCAUUGAAGCAAAGAUUAUUGUAUACUUCAUCAGGCUACAUCAUGAACAACUUUUUCUUGGAAAUAAAUUAUUUUUGGACGCAAA